rnacentral:rRNA from 1 species
GCACAAGCAGCGGAGCGUGUGGUUAAUUCGAUGCUACACGAAGAACCUUACCAGGGUUUGACAUGCAAGUGGUAGGAAACUGAAAAGGACGACCCUUCGGGAGCUUGCACAGGUGCUGCAUGGCUGUCGUCAGCUCGUGUCGUGAGAUGUUCGGUUAAGUCCGCUAACGAGCGCAACCCUCACUGUGUGUUAUAUGUGUCACACGGGACUGCCGGUUUUAAGCCGGAGGAAGUGGGGAUGACGUCAAGUCAGCAUGGCCUUUAUAUCCUGGGCUACACACACGCUACAAUGGUCGGUACAAUAGGUUGCCAAGCCGCGAGGCGGAGCCAAUCCAAAAAGCCGGCCUCAGUUCAGAUUGUAGGCUGCAACUCGCCUGCAUGAAGAUGGAGUUGCUAGUAACCGCAGGUCAGCAAUACUGCGGUGAAUACGUUCCCGGGUCUU